rnacentral:rRNA from 1 species
UCGAGGGGCAGCGGGGGCGAAGCUUGCUUCGCCUGCCGGCGACCGGCGCACGGGUGAGUAACACGUAUGCGACCUGCCCCCCGCAGGGGGAUAACCGGGAGAAAUCCCGACUAAUACCGCGUAACGCCGCGGGGCUGCAUGGCCCCGCGGCCAAAGGAAGCGAUUCCGGCGGGGGAUGGGCAUGCGGCGCAUUAGCUAGUCGGCGGGGUAACGGCCCACCGAGGCGACGAUGCGUAGGGGUUCUGAGAGGAAGGUCCCCCACACUGGUACUGAGACACGGACCAGACUCCUACGGGAGGCAGCAGUGAGGAAUAUUGGUCAAUGGGCGUAAGCCUGAACCAGCCAAGUCGCGUGAGGGAAGACGGUCCUACGGAUUGUAAACCUCUUUUGCCGGGGAGCAACGGGGUCCUUGCGAGGGCCUUAUGAGAGUACCCGGAGAAAAAGCAUCGGCUAACUCCGUGCCAGCAGCCGCGGUAAUACGGAGGAUGCGAGCGUUAUCCGGAUUUAUUGGGUUUAAAGGGUGCGUAGGCGGGCUGUUAAGUCAGCGGUCAAAUGUCGGGGCUCAACCCCGGCCUGCCGUUGAAACUGGCGGCCUCGAGUGGGUGAGAAGUAUGCGGAAUGCGUGGUGUAGCGGUGAAAUGCAUAGAUAUCACGCAGAACUCCGAUUGCGAAGGCAGCAUACCGGCGCCCGACUGACGCUGAGGCACGAAAGCGUGGGUAUCGAACAGGAUUAGAUACCCUGGUAGUCCACGCAGUAAACGAUGAAUGCUAGCUGUC